AUUGAACGCUGGCGGCAGGCUUAACACAUGCAAGUCGAACGAGCGGCGGACGGGUGAGUAAUGUCUGGGAAACUGCCUGAUGGAGGGGGAUAACUACUGGAAACGGUAGCUAAUACCGCAUACCAUCAGAUGUGCCCAGAUGGGAUUAGCUAGUGGGGGGGGUAAUGGCUCACCUAGGCCACGAUCCCUAGCUGGUCUGAGGGGAGGACCAGCCACACUGGAACGGAGACACGGCCCAGACUCCUACGGGAGGCAGCAGUGGGGAAUAUUGGACAAUGGGCGCAAGCUUGAUGCAGCCAUGCCGCGUGGGGGAAGAAGGUCUUCGGGUGGUAAAGCACUUUCAGCGAGGAGGCGUUACCCGCAGAAGAAGCAACGGCUAACUCCGUGCCAGCAGCCGCGGUAAUAC
rnacentral:rRNA from 1 species